CUGAGCGAGGGCUCCGGCCCGACCUCCAACCCUAUGUGAACCGAAACCUGUUGCUUCGGGGGCGACCCUGCCUUUGUGUGAGGCGCCCCCGCUCAUUAAACCCUGCAUCUUUGCGUCGGAGUCUUAAUGAAUUUAAACA
rnacentral:misc_RNA from 1 species